AUUGAACGCUGGCGGCAGGCCUAACACAUGCAAGUCGAGCGGAGCGGCGGAAGGGUGAGUAAUGCCUAGGAAUCUGCCUGGUAGUGGGGGAUAACGUCAGGAAACGGGCGCUAAUACCGCAUCCUCUCAGAUGAGCCUAGGUCGGAUGAGCUAGUUGGUGGGGUAAAGGCCUACCAAGGCGACGAUCCGUAACUGGUCUGAGAGGAUGAUCAGUCACACUGGAACGGAGACACGGUCCAGACGCCUACGGGAGGCAGCAGUGGGGAAUAUUGGACAAUGGGCGAAAGCCUGAUCCAGCCAUGCCGCGUGUGUGAAGAAGGUCUUCGGAUUGUAAAGCACUUUAAGUUGAGAGGCGUUACCAACAGAAUAAGCACCGGCUAACUUCGUGCCAGCAGCCGCGGUAAUUC
rnacentral:rRNA from 1 species